rnacentral:rRNA from 1 species
GACGUAGGGCGCAAGCGUUGUCUGGAUUUAUUGGGCGUAAUGAGCUCGUAGGCGGCUUGCCACGUCUGCCGUGAAAACCAGCAGCUUAACUGUUGGCUUGCGGUUGAUACGGGUUGGCUGGAGUUCGGUAGGGGAGACUGGAAUUCCUGGUGUAGCGGUGAAAUGCGCAGAUAUCAGGAGGAACACCGGUGGCGAAGGCGGGUCUCUGGGCCGAUACUGACGCUGAGGAGCGAAAGCGUGGGGAGCGAACAGG